CAUUGCGGAUCCGCGGCCGCAGAGUUUGAUCAUGGCUCAGGACGAACGCUGGCGGCGUGCCUAACACAUGCAAGUCGAGCGGAGAAUGCAAGAUGUUUACAUUGAGCAUUCUUAGCGGCGGACGGGUGAGUAACACGUGGGUAACCUGCCUCAGAGUGGGGGAUAGCCUUUCGAAAGGAAGAUUAAUACCGCAUAAGCUUGUAGCAUCGCAUGGUGCAGCAAGAAAAGGGGCAAUCCGCUCUGAGAUGGACCCGCGGCGCAUUAGCUAGUUGGUGAGGUAACGGCUCACCAAGGCCACAAUGCGUAGCCGACCUGAGAGGGUGAUCGGCCACAUUGGAGCUGAGACACGGUCCAGACUCCUACGGGAGGCAGCAGUGGGGAAUAUUGCACAAUGGGCGAAAGCCUGAUGCAGCAACGCAGCGUGAGUGAUGAAGGCUUUCGAGUCGUAAAGCUCUUUGAUCAGGGAUGAUAAUGACAGUACCUGAAAAACAAGCCACGGCUAACUACGUGCCAGCAGCCGCGGUAAUACGUAGGUGGCGAGCGUUGUCCGGAAUUACUGGGCGUAAAGGAUGCGUAGGUGGAUAUUUAAGUGGGAUGUGAAAUCCCCGGGCUCAACCCGGGAACUGCAUUCCAAACUGGGAUAUCUAGAGUGCAGGAGAGGAAAGCGGAAUUCCUAGUGUAGCGGUGAAAUGCGUAGAUAUUAGAGGAACACCAGUGGCGAAUGCGGCUUUCUGGACUGUAACUGACACUGAGGCAUGAAAGCGUGGGUAGCAAACAGGAUUAGAUACCUGGUAGUCCAC
rnacentral:rRNA from 1 species